rnacentral:rRNA from 1 species
AACGAACGCUGGCGGCAUGCUUAACACAUGCAAGUCGAACGAAGGCCCGGAGCUUGCUCCGGUCACCUUAGUGGCGGACGGGUGAGUAACGCGUGGGAACCUACCUAGGAGCGGGGAAUAACCAUUGGAAACGAUGGCUAAUACCGCAUACGCUCUACGGAGGAAAGGCUUCGGCCACACCUAGAUGGUCCCGCGUCGGAUUAGCUUGUUGGUAAGGUAACGGCUUACCAAGGCGACGAUCCGUAGCUGGUCUGAGAGGAUGAUCAGCCACACUGGGACUGAGACACGGCCCAG